GGUUGUGUUUCCACCCUACUAGGAUCAGCAGCAUCCGCCCAAACCCCUCUGCCGCAGGGAUUACUUUCAAUGGAAGCACAAAC
rfam:PREDICTED: Culex pipiens pallens uncharacterized LOC120423891 (LOC120423891), mRNA